GCCCGGGAAGGAAUGCGGCAGGCGGAAAACUUGCGGAGAAAGAGCGGGGACCGCCGUGGGGGCGCUGGGUGCGAGUUCCUAAAGGGCGAGGCACUGGGGAGGCUGGGCGUUAGUUGGGAUGGUAUUUACCCGCCGUGUUGUGGCUCUCCAACACACACUCGUUUCAGUUAAAUGAAUUCCUAUAUUUUAUCCAGCAUCUGUACUCAAUGGAUACAUGAAAGAAUGCAGAUCUCUUAGGAUAUUUAGUCAGAAUCAGAACUGGGACACAGAUUCUACCUCUUGAUUCCUUUACAGCUUUGAAACAGAAGUUAUUAAAACACGUGAGAUGGCCUUGGGAGCCUUGGUCAAGAGGACACACACAGCCUGGGGCAUGGGUGCACGGGUGGGGAGAAGGAUACAUGCUGGAAUGGGCAGCACAGGCCUAUCAUCCCAGCUACUGAGGAUGAAGCAUGAGGAUCACAGAUUCAGACCUGCCAGAGAGAUACAGUGAACAACUUAGACUGUCUUAAAAUGUUAACAAAACAAACCUAUUUAAGUGGAGAAGGGAAUGGGCUUCGUUGCAGAGAGCUAUUGCCUCGAAGCUGAGAGGCCUUGGACUCAAUCCCCAAUAUAUCAAAAUCAAUGAAACUGAAGGUGAUGCA